CCUACGGGGGGCAGCAGUGGGGAAUAUUGGACAAUGGGGGGAACCCUGAUCCAGCGACGCCGCGUGAGUGAAGAAGUAUUUCGGGUUGUAAACUUCUUUUCUCAGGGACGAAGCAAGUGACGGUACCUGAGGAAUAAGCCACGGCUAACUACGUGCCAGCAGCCGCGGUAAUACGUAGGUGGCAAGCGUUAUCCGGAUUUACUGGGUGUAAAGGGCGUGUAGGCGGGAAAGCAAGUCAGAUGUGAAAACCAGGGGCUCAACCUGUGGCCUGCAUUUGAAACUGUUUUUCUUGAGUACUGGAGAGGCAGACGGAAUUCCUAGUGUAGCGGUGAAAUGCGUAGAUAUUAGGAGGAACACCAGUGGCGAAGGCGGUCUGCUGGACAGCAACUGACGCUGAGGCGCGAAAGCGUGGGGAGCAAACAGGAUUAGAUACCCGGGUAGUC
rnacentral:rRNA from 1 species